rnacentral:rRNA from 1 species
UACGAAGGGGCUAGCGUUGCUCGGAAUCACUGGGCGUAAAGGGUGCGUAGGCGGGUCUUUAAGUCAGGGGUGAAAUCCUGGAGCUCAACUCCAGAACUGCCUUUGAUACUGAGGAUCUUGAGUUCGGGAGAGGUGAGUGGAACUGCGAGUGUAGAGGUGAAAUUCGUAGAUAUUCGCAAGAACACCAGUGGCGAAGGCGGCUCACUGGCCCGAUACUGACGCUGAGGCACGAAAGCGUGGGGAGCAAACAGG